UCUGGAACAGUACUGACGCUCAGAUGCGAAAGCGUGGGUAGCAAACAGGAUUAGAUACCCUGGUAGUCCACGCCCUAAACGAUGAAUGUUAGUCGUCGGGAGGCUCGUCCUUUCGGUGAUGCAGCUAACGCAUUAAACAUUCCGCCUGGGGAGUACGGUCGCAAGAUUAAAACUCAAAGGAAUAGACGGGGACCCGCACAAGUGGUGGAGCAUGUGGUUUAAUUCGAAGAUACGCGAAGAACCUUACCUAGCCUUGACAUUGAUAGAAUCCGAUGGAAACAUUGGAGUGCCAGUUUACUGGAGCUUGAAAACAGGUGCUGCACGGCUGUCGUCAGCUCGUGUCGUGAGAUGUUGGGUUAAGUCCCGCAACGAGCGCAACCCUCGUCCUUAGUUACUAACGGUUCGGCCGAGGACUCUAAGGAGACUGCCUUCGUAAGGAGGAGGAAGGUGAGGACGACGUCAAGUCAUCAUGGCCCUUACGGCUAGGGCGACACACGUGCUACAAUGGAUAGGACAAUGAGACGCAAUACCGCGAGGUGGAGCAAAUCUAUAAACCUAUUCUCAGUUCGGAUUGUAGUCUGCAACUCGACUACAUGAAGCUGGAAUCACUAGUAAUCGUAGAUCAGCCAUGCUACGGUGAAUACGUUCCCGGGUCUUGUACUCACCGCCCGUCACACCAUGGGAGUUGAUUUCACCCGAAGCGGGGAAGCUAAACUGGCUACCCUCCACGGUGGAAUCAGCGACUGGGGUGAAGUCGUAACAAGGUAGCC
rnacentral:rRNA from 1 species